rfam:Triticum aestivum genome assembly, contig: Triticum_aestivum_CS42_TGACv1_scaffold_374104_5AL
CAAGUACUCCCUCCAUCCGGAAUUACUUGUCAUCAAAAUGGAUGUGUCUAGAACUAAAAUACAUCUAGAUACACCCAUUUCAAUGACAAGUAUUUUCGGACGGAGGGAGUACAAG